UACAGAGGGGGCAAGCGUUGUUCGGAAUCACUGGGCUUAAAGGGCGCGUAGGCGGGCAAGCAAGUCCGGGGUGAAAUCUUUCGGCUCAACCGGAAAAGUGCCUUGGAUACUGCUUGUCUGGAGGGAGGUAGGGGCCCGUGGAACUUCCGGUGGAGCGGUGAAAUGCGUUGAUAUCGGAAGGAACGCCGGUGGCGAAAGCGACGGGCUGGAUCUCUACUGACGCUGAGGCGCGAAAGCCAGGGGAGCAAACGGG
rnacentral:rRNA from 1 species